rnacentral:misc_RNA from 1 species
AAGUCGUAACAAGGUUUCCGUAGGUGAACCUGCGGAAGGAUCAUUAACACGUAUCCACGUAUCACAUAUGUGCACUGUUUUCACCUCUCCCACGCGCUUCCAUGAGUCGCUUGAACCCAUGCCAAGGUAUGUCUGGUCACCCGUGACGGGUGAGACUUGUGUAUGAGUGAGACUGUAGGAAGAGUGUGGCUGUGCCUGCUCGCAGCUGUUUCCACGACUGCAGCCGAGCGGGACUUUUUAUAUACACUUAUUUCACCACUUUUUGCUAGUUGACUUUAUUUAUGUGUCUGAAUACUUUGUAUUCUGUCGCACGUUUAUAUAUUAUUUAAACGUUAAAGAAACAACUCUUAGCAAUGGAUAUCUUGGUUCUC